rnacentral:rRNA from 1 species
CCUACGGGUGGCAGCAGUGGGGGAUAUUGCACAAUGGGGGCAACCCUGAUGCAGCGAUGCCGCGUGGGUGAAGAAGCGCCUCGGCGCGUAAAGCCCUGUCAGCAGGGAAGAAAAUGACGGUAUCUGAAGACGAAGCGCCGGCUAACUACGUGCCAGCAGCCGCGGUAAUACGUAGGGGGCAAGGGUUAUCCGGAUUUACUGGGUGUAAAGGUGGCGCAGACGGCGAUGCAAGACGAGUGUGAAAGCCCGGGGCCCAACCCCGGGACUGCACUUGGAACUGCGUGGCUAGAGUGCAGGAGAGGCAGGCGGAAUUCCUGGUGUAGCGGUGAAAUGCGUAGAGAUCAGGAGGAACACCGGUGGCGAAGGCGGCCUGCUGGAC